CUUUUGCUCUUGAAAAUUACUUCCUCCUUAGAACUUUUCACAGGAAAACAUGGGCUAUCUUUAUUCUUUCUUUCUUAUUUUUCCUUUCUCUCUCUGUUUUUUAAUAUCUAGGAGGCAGGCAUCUAUGUACCCAUUGUUUUAAUUGUUGGGACACUUGUCCAUCUUUUACUCCCCUUUUUAUUAUAUUUUUCUUUUUUAAAUACUUUUGCAUAGCCACGUGCAUCCUUUGAAUAUAAAUAGGCGGAGAGAUAAUGAUAAGAACUUAGAGCAAUUAAAUAGGGGCUGUCCUAUAGGGUAUAUCUUUGGGUGUUUACUCCUAGUGUAGGAGAAAACCAUUUUUAAGGUGGAUCUAGAUGAAAAUGGGAAAUAAUUGCGCUCACUCUUAGAGUAGGAGUAAUGCAUAUGUAGGUGGAGUGCGUGAGUGAUCUUAAUUUUAAAAGCAUGACAAGACUCUCAUUAGGUAUACUCCAACGGUUGACUAAACUUAAUGUAAAGCAAGCAGCAUAAAUGUGCAAAGGUUUUCCUAACUCCAUAUGUAUCAUAUAUGGCUUCUGUAGGAAUUUAAACUUUAUCAUACAAGAGCUCAUCAUGUAAGAUUUUGGGUUUUCAAAAUAAAUCUCCAGAACUAAGUA
rnacentral:lncRNA from 1 species